AAAGAAACCAACAGGAUUCCCUAUACGGCGAGUAACGGCAACAGCUAAAUUGGAAAUCUGGCCUCGGCCCGAGUUGUAAUUUGUAGAGGAAGCUUUAGGCGCGGCACCUUCUGAGUCCCCUGGAACGGGGCGCCACAGAGGGUGAGAGCCCCGUAUAGUUGGAUGCCUAGCCUGUGUAAAGCUCCUUCGACGAGUCGAAGUAGUUUGGGAAUGCUGCUCAAAAUGGGAGGUAAAUUUCUUCUAAAGCUAAAUACCGGCCAGAGACCGAUAGCGCACAAGUAGAGUGAUCGAAAGAUGAAAAGCACUUUGAAAAGAGGGUUAAAUAGCACGUGAAAUUGUUGAAAGGGAAGCGCUUGUGACCAGACUUGCGCCGGGCGGAUCAUCCGGUGUUCUCACCGGUGCACUCCGCCCGAGCUCAGGCCAGCAUCGGUUCUCGCGGGGGGAUAAAGGCCCCUGGGAACGUAGCUCCUCCGGGAGUGUUAUAGCCCGGGGCUGUAAUGUCCUCGCGGGGACCGAGGUCCGCGCAUGGCA
rnacentral:rRNA from 2 species